rnacentral:tRNA from 29 species
GCGGAAGUAGCUCAGUUGAUAGAGCAUUAGCCUUCCAAGCUGAGGGUCGCGGGUUUGAGCCCCGUCUUCCGCUC